GUGGGGAAUAUUGCGCAAUGGGCGAAAGCCUGACGCAGCAACGCCGCGUGCGGGAUGACGGCCUUCGGGUUGUAAACCGCUUUCAGCAGGGACGAAGGGUUUCUGACGGUACCUGCAGAAGAAGCACCGGCUAACUACGUGCCAGCAGCCGCGGUGAUACGUAGGGUGCGAGCGUUGUCCGGAAUUAUUGGGCGUAAAGAGCUUGUAGGCGGUCCGUUGCGUCGGAAGUGAAAACUCAGGGCUUAACCCUGAGCCUGCUUUCGAUACGGGCGGACUUGAGGGAUGUAGGGGAGAACGGAAUUCCUGGUGGAGCGGUGGAAUGCGCAGAUAUCAGGAGGAACACCAGUGGCGAAGGCGGUUCUCUGGACAUUUCCUGACGCUGAGAAGCGAAAGCGUGGGGAGCAAACAGG
rnacentral:rRNA from 1 species